rnacentral:rRNA from 1 species
CCUACGGGCGGCUGCAGCCGUGCCGCGUGUGUGAAGGAGGCCCUCGGGUUGUAAAGCACUUUCAGUGAGGAAGAACGCCUGGUGGUUAAUACCCAUCAGGAAAGACAUCACUCACAGAAGAAGCACCGGCUAACUCCGUGCCAGCAGCCGCGGUAAUACGGAGGGUGCGAGCGUUAAUCGGAAUUACUGGGCGUAAAGCGCGCGUAGGUGGCUUGAUAAGCCGGUUGUGAAAGCCCCGGGCUCAACCUGGGAACGGCAUCCGGAACUGUCAAGCUAGAGUGCAGGAGAGGAAGGUAGAAUUCCCGGUGUAGCGGUGAAAUGCGUAGAGAUCGGGAGGAAUACCAGUGGCGAAGGCGGCCUUCUGGACUGACACUGACACUGAGGUGCGAAAGCGUGGGUAGCAAACAGGAUUAGAUACCCGUGUAGUC